rnacentral:lncRNA from 1 species
GUCUAAAAACAGCACAAAAAACAUUUUCCAAAAGACCAAACAAGUGAAAAAGUAUAUUUAAACAAAACGCAUUUGACUAACAGGUCGAACAACUGAUGUUCUUUAACCCUGCUGACUGCCAUUGGCGAUUGCCAAAUAAAAUUGAUCACAAGAUGUAACAAAAUGGAUCUUAAUAUAAAUUUAAUACUAAACAGAAAAAAAAAUUAACUUGUGGCCACGAUGUUAUGCCACAAACAUACGGUGUCAAUAUUUUUUUAGUACACCAGAUCCGGAUUUCGACAAUAAAUGUCUCUUCAGUG